rfam:Triticum aestivum genome assembly, contig: Triticum_aestivum_CS42_TGACv1_scaffold_604564_7DL
GUUAUACUCCCUCCGUCCGAGAGUACUUGUCAUCAAAAUGGACAAAAAGGGAUGUAUCUACAACUAAAAUACAUCUAGAUACAUCCCCUUUUAUUCAUUUUGAUGACAAGUAUUUCCGGACGGAGGGAGUACCAG